rnacentral:snRNA from 1 species
GUGCUCACUUCGGCAGCGCAUAUACUAAAAUUGGAAUGAUACAGAGAAGAUCAGCAUGUCCCCUGUGCAAGAAUGAUAUGCAAGUUUGUGAAGCAUUCCAUAUUUUA